CAGUAGCCGCGGUAAUACGAAGGGGGCUAGCGUUGCUCGGAAUGACUGGGCGUAAAGGGCGCGUAGGCGGCAUACACAGUCAGAUGUGAAAUUCCUGGGCUUAACCUGGGGGCUGCAUUUGAUACGUGUAGGCUAGAGUGGGGAAGAGGGUUGUGGAAUUCCCAGUGUAGAGGUGAAAUUCGUAGAUAUUGGGAAGAACACCGGUGGCGAAGGCGGCAACCUGGUCCUUGACUGACGCUGAGGCGCGAAAGCGUGGGGAGCAAACAGGAUUAGAUACCCGCGUAGUCCCUGUCUCUUAUAC
rnacentral:rRNA from 1 species